rnacentral:rRNA from 1 species
ACGAACGCUGGCGGCGUGCCUAAUACAUGCAAGUCGAGCGAAUCGACGGGAGCUUGCUCCCUGAGAUUAGCGGCGGACGGGUGAGUAACACGUGGGCAACCUGCCUAUAAGACUGGGAUAACUUCGGGAAACCGGAGCUAAUACCGGAUAUGUUCUUUUCUCGCAUGAGAGAAGAUGGAAAGACGGUUUACGCUGUCACUUAUAGAUGGGCCCGCGGCGCAUUAGCUAGUUGGUGAGGUAAUGGCUCACCAAGGCUACGAUCCGUAGCCGGCCUGAGAGGGCGGUCGGCCACACUGACACUGACAUACGGGUCAGACUCCUACGGGAGGCAGCAGUCGGGAAUUUUGGGCAAUGGGCGAAAGCCUGACCCAGCAACGCCGCGUGAAGGAUGAAAUCCCUCGGGAUGUAAACUUCGCAAGAACGGGAAGAAUAAGUAGGGGACAAUACCCCCUAUGAUGACGGUACCGUUUGUAAGCUCCGGCUAACUCCGUGCCAGCAGCCGCGGUAAUACGGGGGGAGCAAGCGUUGUUCGGAUUUACUGGGCGUAAAGGGCGCGUAGGCGGCCUCCGCAAGUCAAUUGUGAAAUCUCCGGGCUUAACUCGGAAAGGUCAACUGAUACUGCGGGGCUAGAGUGCGGAAGGGGCAACUGGAAUUCUUGGUGUAGCGGUGAAAUGCGUAGAUAUCAAGAGGAACACCUGCGGCGAAGGCGGGUUGCUGGGCCGACACUGACGCUGAGGCGCGAAAGCUAGGGGAGCGAACGGGAUUAGAUACCCCGGUAGUCCUAGCCUUAAACGAUGAAUGCUUGGUGUCUGGGGUUAUAUAGUCCCCGGGUGCCGUCGCUAACGCCUUAAGCAUUCCGCCUGGGGAGUACGGUCGCAAGACUGAAACUCAAAGGAAUUGACGGGGACCCGCACAAGCGGUGGAGCAUGUGGUUUAAUUCGAAGCAACGCGAAGAACCUUACCAGGUCUUGACAUCCCUCUGACCGGUCUAGAGAUAGGCCUUUCCUUCGGGACAGAGGAGACAGGUGGUGCAUGGUUGUCGUCAGCUCGUGUCGUGAGAUGUUGGGUUAAGUCCCGCAACGAGCGCAACCCUUGAACUUAGUUGCCAGCACCUCGGGUGGGCACUCUAGGUUGACUGCCGGUGACAAACCGGAGGAAGGCGGGGAUGACGUCAAAUCAUCAUGCCCCUUAUGACCUGGGCUACACACGUACUACAAUGGCCGGUACAACGGGCUGCGAAACCGCGAGGUGGAGCCAAUCCCAACAAAGCCGGUCUCAGUUCGGAUUGCAGGCUGCAACUCGCCUGCAUGAAGUCGGAAUUGCUAGUAAUCGCGGAUCAGCAUGCCGCGGGAAUACGUUCCCGG